CGAAAGUUACGCUAAUACCGCAUACGAUCUAAGGAUGAAAGCGGGGGAUCGCAAGACCUCGCGCGAUUGGAGCGGCCGAUAUCAGAUUAGGUAGUUGGUGAGGUAAAGGCUCACCAAGCCGACGAUCUGUAGCUGGUCUGAGAGGACGACCAGCCACACUGGGACUGAGACACGGCCCAGACUCCUACGGGAGGCAGCAGUGGGGAAUUUUGGACAAUGGGCGCAAGCCUGAUCCAGCCAUGCCGCGUGUGUGAAGAAGGUCUUCGGAUUGUAAAGCACUUUAAGUUGGGAGGAAGGGUAGUAACCUAAUACGUUGCUACUUUGACGUUACCGACAGAAUAAGCACCGGCUAACUUCGUG
rnacentral:rRNA from 1 species